UACGUAGGCAGCAAGCGUUGUUCGGAGUUACUGGGCGUAAAGGGUGCGUAGGCGGUCCUAUAAGUAUGGUGUGAAAUCUCCCGGCUUAACUGGGAGGGUGCGCUAUAGACUGUGGGACUAGAGUGUGGGAGAGGAAAGUGGAAUUCCUGGUGUAGCGGUGAAAUGCGUAGAUAUCAGGAGGAACACCGGUGGUGUAAACGGCUUUCUGGACCAUAACUGACGCUGAGGCACGAAAGCGUGGGUAGCAAACGGG
rnacentral:rRNA from 1 species